rnacentral:rRNA from 1 species
UACGUAGGUGGCAAGCGUUGUCCGGAUUUACUGGGCGUAAAGAGCGCGCAGGCGGCUGGUCAAGUCCGAUGUGAAAUCUCCCGGCUCAACUGGGAAACUGCAUCGGAAACUGAUCGGCUUGGAGGUGGGAGAGGGUAGUGGAAUUCCCGGUGUAGUGGUGAAAUGCGUAGAUAUCGGGAGGAAGCACCCGUGGCGAAGGCGGCCAACUGGGCCGGACCUGGACGCUGAGGCGCGAAGGCGUGGGGAGCGAACGGGAUUAGA